GAGGGUACAGCUCAGUGGUAGAGCGUGUGCUUAGCAUGCACGAGGUCCUGGGUUCAAUCCCAAGUACCUCCA
rnacentral:tRNA from 1 species